GAUGAACGCUGACAGAAUGCUUAACACAUGCAAGUCAACUGUGGCGGACGGGUGAGUAACGCGUAAAGAACUUGCCUCCCAGAUAGGGACAACAUCUGGAAACGAAUGCUAAUACCUGAUACUGUGAGAGAGCUUUGCGUCCCAUUAGCUAGUGGGAAAGGUACCGGCUCACCAAGGCGUUUAUGGGUAGCCGGCCUGAGAGGGUGAUCGGCCACAAGGGGAAUGAGACACGGCCCUUACGACUACUGGAGGCAGGAGGGGGGAAUAUUGGACAAUGGACCAAAGUCUGAUCCAGCAAUUCUGUGUGAACGAUGAAGUUUUCGGAAGGUAAAGUGCUUUCAGUUGGGAAGCAGUACCAAAAGAAGAAGUGACGGCUAAAUACGUGCCAGCAGCCGCGGUAAUAC
rnacentral:rRNA from 1 species